AAGUCGUAACAAGGUUUCCGUAGGUGAACCUGCGGAAGGAUCAUUACCAAUAUAGCGAACCGAGCGUUAGCGAGGCUUCGCGAUCAAAUUGUAUUUAAAACCCAACUCUUUAAAUGUAUAUAUUAUUAUUGUAAAUAAUAAAAGAUCACUUUCAACAACGGAUCUCUUGGCUCUC
rnacentral:misc_RNA from 1 species